rnacentral:rRNA from 1 species
UACGGAAGGUCCGGGCGUUAUCCGGAUUUAUUGGGUUUAAAGGGAGCGUAGGCCGGCUUUUAAGUCAGCUGUGAAAGUCCGCGGCUCAACCGUGGAAUUGCAGUUGAAACUGGAGGCCUUGAGUGCACACAGGGAUGCCGGAAUUCAUGGUGUAGCGGUGAAAUGCUUAGAUAUCAUGAAGAACUCCGAUCGCGAAGGCAGCAUACCGGCGCCCAACUGACGCUGAAGCACGAAAGCGUGGGUAUCGAACAGG